rnacentral:rRNA from 1 species
CCUGAUGCAGCAACGCCGCGUGAGGGACGACGGCCUUCGGGUUGUAAACCUCUUUUAGUAGGGAAGAAGCGAAAGUGACGGUACCUGCAGAAAAAGCACCGGCUAACUACGUGCCAGCAGCCGCGGUAAUACGUAGGGUGCAAGCGUUAUCCGGAAUUAUUGGGCGUAAAGAGCUCGUAGGCGGUUUGUCACGUCUGCUGUGAAAACUGGAGGCUCAACCUCCAGCCUGCAGUGGGUACGGGCAGACUAGAGUGCGGUAGGGGAGAUUGGAAUUCCUGGUGUAGCGGUGGAAUGCGCAGAUAUCAGGAGGAACACCGAUGGCGAAGGCAGAUCUCUGGGCCGUAACUGACGCUGAGGAGCGAAAGCAUGGGGAGCGAACAGGAUUAGAUACCCUGGUAGUCCAUGCCGUAAACGUUGGGAACUAGAUGUAGGGACCAUUCCACGGUUUCUGUGUCGCAGCUAACGCAUUAAGUUCCCCGCCUGGGGAGUACGGCCGCAAGGCUAAAACUCAAAGGAAUUGACGGGGGCCCGCACAAGCGGCGGAGCAUGCGGAUUAAUUCGAUGCAACGCGAAGAACCUUACCAAGGCUUGACAUAUACCGGAAAAGUUCAGAAAUGUUCUCCCCGCAAGGUC